AGUGAACGCUGGCGGUAGGCCUAAUACAUGCAAGUCGAACGGCAGCACAGUAAGAGUUUGCUCUUACGGGUGGCGAGUGGCGGACGGGUGAGGCAUACAUCGGAAUCUACUUUUUCGUGGGGGAUUACGUAGGGAAACUUACGCUAAUACCGCAUACGACCUACGGGUGAAAGCAGGGGAUCUUCGGACCUUGCGCGAUUGAAUUAGCCGAUGUCGGAUUAGCUAGUUGGCGGGGUAAAGGCCCACCAAGGCGACGAUCCGUAGCUGGUCUGAGAGGAUGAUCAGCCACACUGGAACUGAGACACGGUCCAGACUCCUACGGGAGGCAGCAGUGGGGAAUAUUCGACAAUGGGCGCAAGCCUGAUCCAGCCAUGCCGCGUGGGUGAAGAAGGCCUUCGGGUUGUAAAGCCCUUUUGUUGGGGAAGAAAAACAGCAGGUUAAUACCCCGCUGUUCUGACGGUACCCAAAGAGUAAGCACCGGCUAACUUCGUG
rnacentral:rRNA from 1 species